rnacentral:rRNA from 1 species
UACGAGAGGUGCAAGCGUUAUUCGGAAUUAUUGGGCGUAAAGGGUGCGUAGGCGGUUUGUUAAGUUUGUUGUUAAAUACUUUGGCCUAACUGAAGAACAGCAACGAAAACUGGUAAACUAGAGGGUGAAAGAGAGAAGUGGAAUUCCCGGAGUAGCGGUAAAAUGCGUAGAUCUCGGGAGGAACACCAAUGGCGAAGGCUGCUUCUUGGUUCACUACUGACGCUGAGGCACGAAAGCGUGGGGAGCAAACAGG